AUAAUAAUUUCUCAUGGCAAAUGAUAGUCUGCUACCCUCGCAAGUUUUCUGUUUGUCGCCUUUGGUAUGUGUUUUUAGGUUUUUAAAGUCUUUUAUGUUUCUUGUUCUUUUCGUUUCUUCUGUAGCCAGCAUUCAAAAGUCAAAUUGAGCUCUCACAUACGCUGGCUAUCGCUGUUCUUUUGUCACUUGUUUUUCAAAUCUGCAGUCAUGGAUACUGAAUUAGCACACUUAAGGCUUAAUGAAGAAGAAGAGAUUUUGCAAUUACAGAUAGAUCCAGGGUCGGAUAAAGGAGAUGAGGAAUUUCAAGUAGUGGGAUGUUUUUUAACAGCCAGCGUUAUCCACUCUCCAGCAAUGAGAAGCACUAUGGCGAAUUUGUGGCAUCUGGUUUAUGGGGUUCAAAUUCAAGAUCUAGGGACAAAGAGGUACCUUUUUCAGUUUUUUCAUAGUAUGGAUAUGGAGAGAGUCUUAAAGGGCCCACCAAGGACUUUCAAUAAUCAUCUAUUACUGCUCUAUAAUUUGAAGAGGGGGAAAACCCAUUAGAAGUCCCGUUAAUAUUUUCUCCUAUUUGGGUGCAAAUCCAUGAUGUUCCAAUUAGUAUGUUUUCUGAAAUUUAACAAUACGGCUGGGUAAUUUUAUAAGGGCUUUUCUGGAAUAUGAUGGCUCUAACCUGGGGAAAGAAAAUUAAAAUUUCAUGAGAAUACGAGUCUAGAUCGAUGUUAGGCGUCCAUUGAAGAGGAAAAAAUAGAUCAUAUUCUAUGGUAGGUGUUCAUACUUUAAAUUUAAAUAUGAACGUCUAUCACUUUUUUGUUUUUAUUAUGGACGGCUGGGGCAUAGGGACUCUUUUUGUGAAGCAAAAAUGAUGCUUGGAGUAAAAAUUGCUAAGAUGGGCUAGGAUUUGUCUUUGCGAGCACAAUCUCGAAAAGCUUUAUCGAUGAAGAGUAUUUGGUUGCGAGAAUAAGAGGAAAGUAAAUAGGAAGGCCAUGGUAAGGAUACACGAGGCCUAGAGGUUAGAUCAUGGGGGAAAAUAUUAGACAAAAUGGAAACGGUUUGGAUCCAAUGUUGGGAUUGAAUUUAGAAAGGGGAAACAUCUUCAUUUAUCCAAAGAAGGGAUGGAUUUUGGAAAGAUUAGGUGCAAACUGCAAUGGAACAUGAUUCAGAGUAUGGUAUCUUAGAAGGAGAGUAGGGGAAAAAAAGGGCAUUGGGGGGGUGAUGGAAAAUUCAAAUGAAAACGAGAAGAGUUGCAAUGUUAUGGUAAAAAGCAGAUUGGUGGAUUCUAAUUCUUUAUUAUCGGCGUUUGCCAAGAGGCAAGCUGACCGAAUGUAAUGAAAAUCGUAAAUUGGAACGUUCGUAGGUUAAGGAGUUCACGGACGAGUCGAAGACUUCGACAUAUGCUAAAGAAUUACAAUCCCCAAAUAGUGUUCUUAAUAGAGACAAAACUUCAAAAAAGACAGAUGGAACGAGUUCAGAGAAGUUGUGGCUUCAUGAAUGGUAUUGAGGUUGAUUCUGAAGGUACAAUAGGAGGAUUGUGUUUAGCUUGGAGAACGAAUGUCAAUAUUGUACUUUAAAGCUAUUCUAAACGACGUAUUGAUGUGGUAAUUGAAGAUUCUGAGGCAUGAUACAAAUGGAGAUAUACGGGUUUUUACUAAUCCCCUUAUGUACAAGAUAGGAGUGAUUCAUGGGCUAUUUGAAAGGGUUAAAAUCUAAUAUGAACCUCCCUUAGCUUGUUUGUAGAGAUUUUAAUGAAAUUUUGUAUAGCUGUGAAAAAAAAAGAGGUCUGCCAAAAGACGAACGGAGAGUGGAGAUUUUUCGAAGAACUUUAGAAGAGUGCCAAUUGAACGACGUAGGAUAUACUGGUAACUAGUUUACCUAGGAGAGAGGUAACCUACCAGAAACGAAUAUACAAGAAUGUUUGGACAGGGGUGUUGCAAAUUUCAGAUUGGAUUGCUGAAUUCCCAGAGGUGAAAGUUCAACAUCUAGUUCAUUCCUUUUCAUAUCACUGCCCUCUUCUAAUAAGCACAAAAAUAAGUGAAGGAAGGUUACAGAAUAAUUCUUUCAAGUUUGAAGCUUGGUGGUUAUUGGAAGAUUUUUUCUUGGAUCAAGUUAGAGCUUUAUGGGAGAAAUCAAAUGGGGGAUUGCUGUAGAAGCUGGAAAGUUUAAAAAUAGGAUUGAAACAAUGGGCGGAGCAAAUCUAAAUAAAUAGAAAGAAAAAGAAGUUUCCAAUGGAAAAAUUAUCUUUGUUAUCUGAAGCUGAAAGAGAUGAUGAAAACUUAGCCGAGCUGAUUGAUACAAAAAUUGAUUUAAACUUUAAGAUUGAAAAAGAUGAGUGUUAUUGGGAACAAAGGGUUAGGAUUAAUUGGCUAAAAUAUGAGGAUAAGAACACGAAGUUUUUUCACAGUCAAGCUUCACAACGACGGAAGACAAAUUUCAUUCAAAAAUUGCAGACUGAAGAUGGAUGAGAAAUGGAAACAUUACAGGAGAUUGAGGUGGUUGCACGUUCCUAUUUUCAAAAAUUGUUUUCGGAAGAAAUAAGAGGGAAUUAUGACCAUUUGUUAACGGGGAUCGAUCGAUGCAUUACUGAGGAAGAUAAUCAUAGACUUACAGCGCCCUAUAACAGAGAGGGAAUUCGAGAGGCCGUCUUUGAUAUAGGACUUACAAAGGCACCAAGGGAAGAUGGUUUUCUGGCGAUAUUCUACAAAAAAUGUUGGCAUUUUAUUGGCGAAGACAUCACCUUAUUUUGUUUAAACCUCUUGAAUGGUGAAAUGGAGGUUAGUUCUAUAAAUUCCACAAAUAUAGUGCUUAUUCCAAAAACUACUAGCCUUUCAAAUAUGACACAAUUUAGACUGAUUAGUCUUUGCAAUGUAAUUUACAAAAUAUUGGCAAAGGCUAUGGCAAACAGAUUCCGAGUAAUUGAAAAAUGUAUUAGCUGUGCAUAGAGUGCUUUUGUGCUGGGAAAACUAAUUUCAAAUAAUGUGUUACUAGCUUUUGAAAUACUGCAUGAGCUCAAACAAAAGAGAUUGGAAAAAAAAAAGGUUUAUGGCAGUUAAACUCGAUAUGAGCAAAGCAUAAGAUAUGGUGGAGUGAAACUUUUUAAAGGAAAUAAUUAUUAGAAUGAGAUUCGACCAGAAGUGGGUAAAUGCAAUUAUUAAAUGUAUAUCUACAGUAUCUUAUUCUAUGGUCAUUAAUGGUCAUUUUGGAGAGAAAUUUAUACCUACUAGAGGACUUCAACAAGGUGACCCGUUAAGCCCAUUUUUGUUUCUUAUAUGCGAUGAGGGUUUAUCAAGUUUAAUGAGACUUUCUUUGAAUGAAGGUUUUUUCAAAGGUGUCAAGAUUAGCAGGAAUGGGCCACAGGUAACUCAUCUUUUAUUUGUAGAUGACUGCAUAUUAUUCGGGGAGGCAACAUGCAUGAGGCUAAUUUAUUCAAAGAAAUUUUACAUGAAUACAGAUCUUGUUCAGGCCAGAGUGUAGAUUUUGAAAAGUCAACGGUAUUUUUUAAUAGGAACACAACAGAUGAGGACAAAAGGAUGGUUGUUAAUUUAUUGGGAGUCCACAGUUCUAAUGCGCCUGAGCGUUAUUUAGGGCUGCCGAACAUGGUUGGAAGAAAAAAGAAAGAGCCUUUCCAAAAUCUAAAGGAUAGAAUUAAAAAGUGCAUCGACAACUAGGUUUUUAUCGCAGGGAGGAAUAAAAGUAUUUAUAAAGGCUAUCUUACAAGCCAUACCUACUUAUACGAUGGCAUGCUUUCUAUUACCAAAAAUUCUAUAUGAUGAAUUAGAAAAUAUUAUAGCAAACUUUUGGUGGUAAAAAUGUCACAGGAAAAGGGGAAUUCACUAGUGCACAUGGAAAAGCCUUUGUAUUUUAAAAGAAAAUCAAAGUUUAAGGUUCCGUAAUCUUGGUCAAUUCAAUAUUGCAUUGUUAGCCAAACGGGGCUGGCACCUCAUUAAUUUUUCAAAUUCAUUAUUGGCCAGAGUUUUAAAAGUAAAGUAUUAUCCGCAGACGAGUUUUCUAAAUGUUGAGUUGGGAAAUUUACCUUCACUCACCUGGAGAAGCAUUUGGGCAGCUAAGGGCCUUCUUCAGAAUGGAAUGUGUUGGAGAGUGGGUAGAUGGGAUAAGAUAUUGAUUUGGAAUGAUAGUUGGAUCCCGGGAAUUGAGAAACCUGAAGGGCAGAACAAUUCAGACAAUGAGUUAAUAGUGGUGUCGGAUCUUAUUGAUUCCUCAAAUAGGAAAUGGAGAACAGAUAUGAUCAUGAAUACCUUUCAAACGGGUGUUGCUCAAAAAAUCCUACAGAUUCCACUUACAGAGACCGAUCGUGAAGAUUUUCAGGUGUGGAAAGGGGAACAAUAGGGAAAAUGCUCGGUACGUAGUGCCUAUAAACUAUUACAAGAAGCUACUACGGAUCCUAGGAAUUAUUUAGUACAUGCUGAAAUUAAAAACUUUUACAGAAAGCUUUGGAAUUUACAGCUACCCACAAAAAUCACAAUUAUUAUUUGCAGAAUUUCAUGGGAUUUUAUUCCCCAUUUUUCUAAUUUCAGGUAUAGAAGACUCCUUUCCAAUGAUAGAUGUCCCCGCUGCCACUCCGACGUUGAAGAUAGUUGCCACAUAUUUCGUCAAUGUCCUUUAUCAACGGAAGUUUGGACAAAUUUACAGCUUUCCUAGGUCAGUAAUGAUAUGAAUCAAAACAUAUGGGAAUGGCUAACCUGGGUGUUCACGAAAGGUUCUACUGAGCAGUGUCGUCUAUUUUGCUACGCGUUGUGGAUGAUAUGGUCUUCCAGGAACCAACUAGUUCAUGAACAGAAAAUCUCGACCGGAAUAGAUCUAGCAAAAAGUGUGAAGAAACAAAUGGAAGAAUAUGAAGGUGCGCAAGCAGUAAAAGUGCCAUUAAACAUUAACAGGAACUAGAGGAAUCAAGAAGACAUACUGAGAAUACAGAUCCAGUUUGAUGCAGUAUUCAAUAAUACAAACUUUCAGUCAGCGUCUGGUCUGGUGGUUUGGAGUUUGAGGGGAGAAAUACUUGUAUCAAAAUUGACUCUUCACAAUAAUGUUCCGACUCCAUUUGUAGCAGAGGCAUUCGCAUGUCUUGAAGCUUUAAAUUUAGAUAUCUUGAUGGGCAUGAAAUCGGUCGAUAUUAUGGGGGACUCCAAAACAACAAUAAAAAAUGCCAAACAACAUUAACAAACAAAUCAGCCAUUGGAGCAAUCAUCAAAGAUAUCCAGAAUAUAAAAAGGUGUUUUCGUGAGAUUCAUUUCCAGAAUAUUCACAGAUCGGAAAACUCAACUGCUCAAAGACUUGCGAAGACUACGCUAGAAAGAAGAGAGACUGUGUACCUGAUGGGAGAAGGUUGGAGAGACCAAGAGAAUGCUUCAGAGGGACGAUGGGCACAAUGGCCAGAUUGAAUGAAACUUGGUGAAGAAUGUGAUUUCAAAGUAGAUAGCAAUUGAUUCUUUAUCUUCCUUAGGGAGUGCUAUCGGCAGAAAAAGAUGGGAUGGUGAUAAGAAAAGUCGAAUAGUCAUGGGUGCCAACCGUUCUUUGAUUUGACUAGGGUAGGUUUCCUGUUUUCUAAAUUCAGAUUCUUUUUAUUGUUUUUCUUUUUUCAAGUCAGUUUCUAUUUUUUUAAGUAUUUAGGAGGCCUUAUCAGUAAAGACAAAAUUGAGGCCAGAUAUUAUUUUGAGUUUUAUUGUAGUUGGGUCUGAGCCCAGUUGGUUAACGGGCUUUAUACUCUUUUAUAAUUUCAAAUAAAAUGCC
rnacentral:lncRNA from 1 species